GUUUUAUGAAUAGCACCAUGAACAAGAAGGAAAUUGCCUGUGUAUUCAUUCAAGCUUUGAUCUCACCGGAAUUAUGAUCUGUAGUUUAAUUUUUACUUUUACAGGAACUAUGUUAUUGCUAAGAAGAGCAUGCAAAUUUUGUUCCUGUGGUGAUAUGCUGUGCAGCCUGGACACGCAAUGCAGACAUGUAAUGGGGGCAUGGCCAGGAGGAACUAACAGAGUUCUGGAGACAGGACAGCAGGAUGAAUGUAAUGAUCAUCACAGAAUGGCUUGGGUUGGAAAGGAUCAAAGAUCAUCAAGUUCCAACCUCCUGCCAUGGGCAGGAUUGCCUUGAAUUCCUCCAGAGAUGUGGUAUACUACACUUGGGGUGUUUGUGUCUGCACACUUGGGCACUCUGAUCUGGUUAAAAGUCACCCUUAGACCUAAGUAUCUAUCCAUGCAUAAAAGUUACAUUACCGUAUUUAUUUUUUUAGGCUAAAGGCACCUGCUAGAGCUCAGAGUUCCCUGCCAAAGGGCUGGGUGAGUGGUUUUUCAAAUGCAUUAUGGAACAUUUCAAAAACUGAAUCAAUGCAAACAUUUAAAUAAACAGAUAUAAUUAGCUGAUGUCAACCUGUGCAUGCAGGGCACAUAACAGCAGCAUUUAUUAUUUCUGUUUGCAUUCCAGGAUGGGUAUAUUGCAGAAUUGUUCAGGACUCAGAGUAGUUGCCUGCACUGUAUAACAAUUUCACAACAAAACCCAAAGACAGACUCAGAUCUCACGUCUUACACACCAGAGAUUCUUGUUGAAAAAUCUCCUCACUCUCCUUCCUGUGCUGCAGGAACGUCACCUUUCAAGACAUUUGGUUACCAUGACUAAGAUCUGUUUAGCAGAGAUACUCUUUGUAGGUAGUAUUUUUCUUCAGUUUUCAUUUAUACGCAAUGUACUGACUAUUUUCUUCAGUAAGAGAAAUAAAAAAUUUCCUAAGAAAACUUC
rnacentral:lncRNA from 7 species